UACGGAGGGUGCGAGCGUUGUCCGGAAUCACUGGGCGUAAAGGGCGCGUAGGUGGCGCGGGAAGUCAACGGUGAAAGUUCAGGGCUCAACCCUGAAUCGGCCGUCGAUACUCCCGGGCUUGAGCACUGUAGAGGCAGGUGGAAUUCCGGGUGUAGCGGUGGAAUGCGUAGAGAUCCGGAAGAACACCGGUGGCGAAGGCGGCUCACUGGCUCAUUACUGACGCUCAGGCGCGACAGCGUGGGGAUCAAACAGG
rnacentral:rRNA from 1 species